AACAUUUCUGCUUUAAGAAACCAUGACACAUGUCUUCUCCCCUUUAAAGAUGUUAAAACCGGCAGGCAGAUGGCGAAUGGGUCUCCAUGGGCACCCCAUGCCCUACUUACAGAACCAAGUGGUCAUCCAGAGCUGACCCCAAGCCCAUUCAUUACUCCAUGUCCCAGGGGUAAUGUCAGGGCAACUGUGAGAGGUGU